rnacentral:rRNA from 1 species
CCUACGGGGGGCUGCAGUGGGGAAUAUUGCACAAUGGGCGCAAGCCUGAUGCAGCCAUGCCGCGUGUGUGAAGAAGGCCUUCGGGUUGUAAAGCACUUUCAGCGGGGAGGAAGGCGGUGAGGUUAAUAACCUGAUCGAUUGACGUUACCCGCAGAAGAAGCACCGGCUAACUCCGUGCCAGCAGCCGCGGUAAUACGGAGGGUGCAAGCGUUAAUCGGAAUUACUGGGCGUAAAGCGCACGCAGGCGGUCUGUCAAGUCGGAUGUGAAAUCCCCGGGCUCAACCUGGGAACUGCAUUCGAAACUGGCAGGCUAGAGUCUUGUAGAGGGGGGUAGAAUUCCAGGUGUAGCGGUGAAAUGCGUAGAGAUCUGGAGGAAUACCGGUGGCGAAGGCGGCCCCCUGGACAAAGACUGACGCUCAGGUGCGAAAGCGUGGGGAGCAAACAGGAUUAGAUACCCGGGUAGUC